UGCCCCAUGGCUUAGUUGGUCACGGCGUCCGACUGUUAGCGACUCGAAAGAGUCAGGACAUCGAAAGAUCGAGAGUUCAAGUCUCUCUGGGGCAG